UACGGGGGGUGCAAGCGUUGUUCGGAGUCAUUGGGCGUAAAGAGCGUGUAGGCGGCCGCGUAUGUCAGAUGUGAAAGUCCUGGGCUCAACUUGGGAAGUGCAUUUGAAGCUGCGUGGCUAGAGUAAGGGAGAGGAAAGUGGAAUUCCUGGUGUAGAGGUGAAAAUCGCAGAUAUCAGGAGGAACACCUGUGGCGAAGGCGGCUUUCUGGCCCUAUACUGACGCUGAGACGCGAAAGCGUGGGUAGCAAAC
rnacentral:rRNA from 2 species